UACGGAGGGUGCAAGCGUUGCUCGGAAUUAUUGGGCGUAAGGGUAGGUAGGUGGUCUCAUUUGUCUGGGGUGAAAGCCUUGAGCUUAACUCAAGAAGUGCCCCAGAAACGGUGAGACUAGAGUCCUGGAGAGGGUCGUGGAAUUCCCGGUGUAGCGGUGAAAUGCGUAGAGAUCGGGAGGAACACCAGAGGCGAAGGCGGCGACCUGGACAGGUACUGACACUCAACUACGAAAGCGUGGGGAGCAAACAGG
rnacentral:rRNA from 1 species